GCGCUCAAUCUAACGGCCCAUAUUCCACCUGCCUCAUUAAGGGCAGUUUUGUAAUUUCAUGCAUUGAAUGACCUUUGUUCUCACUCCUAACGCUGCUUCAUUUUCUUUCUCUCUCUUCAUUAUAUUUUCUCUCUCCUCCUUCAAAUUCUCUAUUUCGAUUUCACCAAUCUUUUGCGAAUUCUCACGUCGAAGGCAAAUUAAAGGUUUGGAGGAUAUAGAGAAGUUGGUGGAUCGAGUUAGGAGCUUAGAGGAAGGUUCUGUAAUGGAUACUGCGAUUUAUUAUCUACUCCAUGGGUCGUUGCCCCCAGAGUUACAUGUUUCGUUUUUAUAGUUUCUUGGUUGAUUUUUAUGGUUAGAUUACUCCAUAUAUAUUGAAAUGUAUUGAUGAACUAUUGAUGUUAACUUUGGUUGAAAUUUAUUGAUGUAUGGGAUUGAUUGUACUUUCUGGUUC